CAUUUAUUAUCUUUGUGCCUUUUGGAAAUUGGUUUGCCUCUCCACACCUUUUCCUCCUCUGCCAAAUAAACCUAAUUUGUCCUGUGUUGUAAGAAACAAAUGGGAUCAUAAAUUCUUUCUGAAGUGCCAAGCACUAUUGAAAUAUAAAUUAAUAUUUAUUCACUAGGAAUUAUUGUCUCCUGACAGUCAAAUAUUUGCUUACUGCUACUCCCAUUUCAACCACCUUGUGAUUACCUCCCCCUAACAAGCUUUCUUGUCUUUUGUUUUUUCUAGGUCAUUCUAUGAUUGAUCGUAAGAAAGUACAACAUGCAGAUCAAUAUUAUUUCGACAAGCCUGCUGUGGGUGGACGGGGACCCUUGGAGCUUGUUAGGAACCCACAUUCCUGGGCUCCCUCUGGAUGGGCUGAGGCCUCACGGGGUGGGCCCCGGAGUCUGUGUGUCGGCAGGGCUCCGGGGCUCCGACGUGCAGGAGCUGAAAAUCCUUUCAUGGAACAAACUUGCUCCAAGCGCUCUUUGCAGGACAUCAUCCUAAACACAAGCAGUGAGUCCGUGAUGCCCCUGCCCUCAUGCGGCUCAGAGUCGAGAAGCAGAUAAGCCAGGACGACUACUAUGUUAGAAUUCGGUGCGUGCCAUCAUAAAGCAUUAAAACCUCUAGGAGUUCUCAGAAGGGAGGAAAUCAUUAGUGCCUGGGGUGAGGAGGAGAACAUUCUCAGAGAGUGGAAUUUGUGUCCUAUGGGCUUUUUUCUGUUGUUGCUGUUAGUAGCCAAUAAAAGGGUUUUCAAGGGGGCAGUUGGAACUGUAAUUUGCAUUUAUGCGCUGAUCACACCUCCACCCCCAGGCCUAACAGGCAGAUGAGCGACAGUGAGAAAACCCCAGAAGGGACAGAUAUCAUGCCUGCCCUGGGCAUUUGAGCAGUGGGAGAGUCUGGGGCACAGUCUCAGAUGGAAAUGACAGGGCUGUGGCCACCACUCUUCAUGAGCACAACCAGCCUAGCCUUAGCCAGUAACACCCUUGUUCCCACGGCUGGGGUUCGAGUGGUUCUAAUCCUGGACACCGUGGUUCUGGGACAGAAAUCAGACACCUGGCCA
rnacentral:lncRNA from 1 species